UGUGUCGCCUCUCAGUGCAACACUACAUUACAGUGUCAGGGAGUGGAGGACCAAUGCUUUCAAUCAACGAUGACGGACGGCACCAAGAGUUUCCCAGCUUACGGCUGUGCAUCUAAAAACCUGUGUGCAGCUGCUUCAAGCCUGGGUUCUUUACCUUUCAUGCAGAGGGUUGGUACCAUAACAAGUCGACAAACCUGUAGUUCACCCACAACCACAACAACUGGUCCUCCAACCACAACCACAGCUGCCCCAACCACAAGAACACCUGCAUCAACCACCACAAUUUCUGCACCAACCACCACAAUCGCUGCACCAACCACGACCACUUCUUCACCAACCACAACAAGAAGUAAUGUAUCUUCUAUUAGAAUGAAUGUAAUUCCUCUUCUACUGGGAGUCCUUUUCUUUCACCUCUUUUAAUAAAAGGAACUUCUACUUUUCUUUUGUAGUUGGGAUUUUCUUACAUCUUAUCAUAUUUAAGUGUCUGGGAAAAGCUGAACACAUACUUAAGACGCUAUUACCCCUUUCCAAGUGACUUCAAAAUUGUAAUUGUUUACAUAAUGUUUUAAAUACAAAUAUAUUUAUCUAUUUAUGAAAGUCAUUGUUUAAAUGUGUUGAAUAAAUGUAGUAGUAUGCAAUAUAUGAGUACAAAUAAACAACUAUAUACUCUACCAAUAACUAGUUAUCUGGGAAUUUUUGGUCAUAUGUUGAUAUAUAAUCAGUUGUCUAUUCAUAAAAAAAUCUAUCAAAUAUCAAAUGACUUAACUAUUCAGGACAGUAUUUCUAAAACUAGUUACGGCAAUCACACCCAAAAAACUGAAAAAAACCCCCAACAACAACAACAACAACAAAUGUGACAGUAAUAACGUUAUAAUUCAUCUGACAUAAGGGUGCACUUUUUUUUUUGCCUGUCCCAUUUGGUUUUUUAGCCGUCAGAAUUGUUGUCUGAAGAUCAACAAGGAUACCCAAUGGAUUUACUUUACCAAAUGGAUCAUCACGGCCUUGCCGUAUUGGUCCAUUUGAUCGACCUUUGUUGUUAUUAUUUAUUUUAUUAAUAAAUAAUUAACCCCAGCUAUCUCUGGGUUAAGUCUUUUUUCAGAAGCACACCCAAACAGUUUAGAAGAUAACAGGUUAUGACAUCCACACAAACUAAUCUAGGUUUUGUAUUAAUUCAAAUAUUCAUCAGCAUGUCCACAUGAAAAAAAAAAACUCUACUUCCCAGUUUCCUUCACAUAUAGUUGGUAAUCGCUUUUUCUCAUUGCUAAUAUGAAGUAGACUGAAUCCACUCACUGAAAUAAUUUGGCCAAAGUAAAAGAUUUCCACAUCAGUUUGCCAAACAGAAUCAAAAAGAGAAUCUAAAAACUAAAACAAGAAAAUACGGUUUCCAAAAAGUGUGGCAUAUCUUUCUUUCUUAUCUGUAUUUAAUUUUAUUUAAUUUAAUAACAGUACAGUACUCCGUUUUUGGUAACCAUUGUCCUUGAUGUAAAUAUGUAAAACUUGUGUAUGUUUCUGUUCUGUGUCUUUAGUACUGUUUGUUUGUAUAUGUCUUUCUUGCUGCUGUUAUACCCAAAUUUCCCCUUGUGGGACAAUUAAAGGAUUAUUCUAUUCUAUUCUAUUCUUUUCUUCUUGUUUGUAUUUGGGGGUUUUUGAGUCCAUCACAUCCACAUACAUCAUCUUUAAAACUGUUUGGGUGUGCCUUGGAAAGGU
ensembl:lncRNA